GUCCACGCUGUAACGGUGAGUGCUCGUCGUCGUGGGUAUUGACCCUGCGGUGACCAAGUUAACACAUGAAGCACUCCGCCUGGGAAGUACGGUCGCAAGACUAAACUCAAAGAAUUGACGGGGCCCGCACAAGCGGUGGAGCAUGUUGUUUAAUUCGAAGCAACGCGCAGAACCUUACCUGGAUUUGACAUCUCUGGAAUCCUCCUGAAAGGGAGGAGUGCCUUCGGGAGCCAGAAGACAGGUGCUGCAUGGCUGUCGU
rnacentral:rRNA from 1 species